rnacentral:rRNA from 1 species
ACUACGGGUGGCAGCAGUGGGGGAUAUUGCACAAUGGGGGGAACCCUGAUGCAGCGACGCCGCGUGGGUGAAGGAGCGUUUCGGCGCGUAAAGCCCUAUCGGCAGGGAAGAAGAAGGACGGUACCUGACUAAGAAGCCCCGGCUAACUACGUGCCAGCAGCCGCGGUAAUACGUAGGGGGCAAGCGUUAUCCGGAUUUACUGGGUGUAAAGGGGUCGCGGACGGCAGCGCAAGCCAGGCGUGAAGGCCCGGGGCGCAACCCCGGGACUGCUCUUGGAACUGCGCGGCUGGAGUGCAGGAGGGGCAGGCGGAAUUCCUGGUGUAGCGGUGAAAGGCGUAGAUAUCAGGAGGAACACCGGUGGCGAAGGCGGCCUGCUGGACUGCGACUGACGUUGAGGCCCGAAAGCGUGGGGAGCAAACAGGAUUAGAUACCCUUGUAGUC